GAUGAACGCUGACGGCGUGCCUAAUACAUGCAAGUCGAGCGAACGGACGAGAAGCUUGCUUCUCUGAUGUUAGCGGCGGACGGGUGAGUAACACGUGGAUAACCUACCUAUAAGACUGGGAUAACUUCGGGAAACCGGAGCUAAUACCGGCUAAUAUUUUGAACCGCAUGGUUCAAAAGUGAAAGACGGUCUUGCUGUCACUUAUAGAUGGAUCCGCGCUGCAUUAGCUAGUUGGUAAGGUAACGGCUUACCAAGGCAACGAUGCAUAGCCGACCUGAGAGGGUGAUCGGCCACACUGGAACUGAGACACGGUCCAGACUCCUACGGGAGGCAGCAGUAGGGAAUCUUCCGCAAUGGGCGAAAGCCUGACGGAGCAACGCCGCGUGAGUGAUGAAGGUCUUCGGAUCGUAAAACUCUGUUAUUAGGGAAGAACAUAUGUGUAAGUAACUGUGCACAUCUUGACGGUACCUAAUCAGAAAGCCACGGCUAACUACGUG
rnacentral:rRNA from 1 species